rnacentral:lncRNA from 1 species
CCCGCGUGUCAUAAGAGCCGACUAAAGGGCCCCCAGUCUUAAGGUGUAAGCUACUGUGCCAAGAAGAUGAAUGGCAGAGGGAAAGAAGUCUUGAAUGGUGCCUGUCCAGAGCUUGGUCAGCUCUUGGCGGUUGGAGGAACCUUGUGUGUGUACAGGCGGGCCAUGCCCACAUCGACAUUUUCUACUUGCCAGUAUAAAACCUCACAUGGAUGAUAAACUAAUUAAAAAUUUGAAAAAUCUAAAAAAGUUAUCGGGCCCUCUAUCUAAGAGAUCCCGCACUGAUGCCAAAGUAGCGAGCGUUAGUGUAGCACCAUCUGGUGACAAACCUCCUACUUGUUU